rnacentral:rRNA from 1 species
AUGACCCGCUGGAUGGGAGCCGGCAUGUCCAGCCAUCACCUCUGGUGCCCCGUCGCGCACCUGCCCGCCGCCAGGUGCCCGAGGGCCAAGUUGCGGGGUUGUGCGGUCGCGCUGGUCAUCCCCCGUCCGCUCCAGGAAGCAUCUCGCCGGGGUUGGGGUCAAUCCCGGGUAGGCCUGAGGAGGAGAGAGGGCGGCCUCCAUCAGUCCUCUCCGGUGAGGCCUCGAGGGGCAAGAUGCUACCAAGUGCCAUUUGCUUCAGUGCAUUUUGUUCGAUGUGAGUUCUUCCUCAGCUUCUUCUUUGGUGGAUUUUUUGUUCCUGCUACAAUGGACAGCCAGCGACCAUGGCCUCUGAAAUUUUGUCUGUUCGUGGCCUUGGAAAGCCGACACUCUGCUUCUUGUGCAGGAAUCUGCAGUGCUAACAAAGAAGAUGGAAAAGGUACUCCUAGAAAGUGA